rnacentral:rRNA from 1 species
GACGAACGCUGGCGGCGUGCCUAAUACAUGCAAGUAGAACGCUGAAGAGAGGAGCUUGCUCUUCUUGGAUGAGUUGCGAACGGGUGAGUAACGCGUAGGUAACCUGCCUGGUAGCGGGGGAUAACUAUUGGAAACGAUAGCUAAUACCGCAUAAAAUUGAUUAUUGCAUGAUAAUUAAUUGAAAGAUGCAAUUGCAUCACUACCGGAUGGACCUGCGUUGUAUUAGCUAGUUGGUGAGGUAACGGCUCACCAAGGCGACGAUACAUAGCCGACCUGAGAGGGUGAUCGGCCACACUGGGACUGAGACACGGCCCAGACUCCUACGGGAGGCAGCAGUAGGGAAUCUUCGGCAAUGGGGGGAACCCUGACCGAGCAACGCCGCGUGAGUGAAGAAGGUUUUCGGAUCGUAAAGCUCUGUUGUAAGAGAAGAACGGGUGUGAGAGGGAAAGUUCACAC